rnacentral:rRNA from 1 species
CACGUAGGCGGAUUCCUAAGUCGGGGGUGAAAUCCUGGAGCUCAACUCCAGAACUGCCUUCGAUACUGGGAAUCUUGAGCCCGGGAGAGGUGAGUGGAACUGCGAGUGUAGAGGUGAAAUUCGUAGAUAUUCGCAAGAACACCAGUGGCGAAGGCGGCUCACUGGCCCGGUACUGACGCUGAGGUGCGAAAGCGUGGGAGCAAACA